AUUGAACGCUGGCGGCAGGCUUAACACAUGCAAGUCGAGCGGAUGAAGGUAGCUUGCUACUGGAUUCAGCGGCGGACGGGUGAGUAAUGCUUAGGAAUCUGCCUAUUAGUGGGGGACAACGUUCCGAAAGGAGCGCUAAUACCGCAUACGUCCUACGGGAGAAAGCAGGGGACCUUUGGGCCUUGCGCUAAUAGAUGAGCCUAAGUCGGAUUAGCUAGUUGGUAGGGUAAAGGCCUACCAAGGCGACGAUCUGUAGCGGGUCUGAGAGGAUGAUCCGCCACACUGGGACGGAGACACGGCCCAGACUCCUACGGGAGGCAGCAGUGGGGAAUAUUGGACAAUGGGGGGAACCCUGAUCCAGCCAUGCCGCGUGUGUGAAGAAGGCCUUUUGGUUGUAAAGCACUUUAAGCGAGGAGGAGGCUACCUAGAUUAAUACUUUAGGAUAGUGGACGUUACUCGCAGAAUAAGCACCGGCUAACUCUGUGCCAGCCGCCGCCGUAACAC
rnacentral:rRNA from 1 species